GCGAGAAAACUUUGCAAUGUGCGAAAGCACGACAAGGUUAAUCCGAGUGAUUUCUGCUAAAGAAAUCUUUUGCCAGUCAUAAAACCACUGGUGAAUAAGGGGUGGGCAAGUUCUGGUGU
rnacentral:rRNA from 1 species